AGCUGAGGAAAAGAAACCAACCGGGAUUGCCUUAGUAACGGCGAGUGAAGCGGCAAAAGCUCAAAUUUGAAAUCUGGUACCUUCGGUGCCCGAGUUGUAAUUUGGAGAGGGCAACUUUGGGGCCGUUCCUUGUCUAUGUUCCUUGGAACAGGACGUCAUAGAGGGUGAGAAUCCCGUGUGGCGAGGAGUGCGGUUCUUUGUAAAGUGCCUUCGAAGAGUCGAGUUGUUUGGGAAUGCAGCUCUAAGUGGGUGGUAAAUUCCAUCUAAAGCUAAAUAUUGGCGAGAGACCGAUAGCGAACAAGUACAGUGAUGGAAAGAUGAAAAGAACUUUGAAAAGAGAGUGAAAAAGUACGUGAAAUUGUUGAAAGGGAAGGGCAUUUGAUCAGACAUGGUGUUUUGUGCCCUCUGCUCCUUGUGGGUAGGGGAAUCUCGCAUUUCACUGGGCCAGCAUCAGUUUUGGUGGC
rnacentral:rRNA from 1 species